rnacentral:rRNA from 1 species
UGGGGAAUAUUGCACAAUGGGCGAAAGCCUGAUGCAGCGACGCCGCGUGGAGGAUGACGGUCUUCGGAUUGUAAACUCCUGUUAAGUGGGGCAAAAGAGCUUCUGUUAAUAGCAGAGGAAGAUGAUGGUACCACUAGAGAAAGCACCGGCUAACUUCGUGCCAGCAGCCGCGGUAAUACGAGGGGUGCAAGCGUUAUUCGGAUUUACUGGGCGUAAAGGGUGUGUAGGCGGCUUUUUAAGUCAGUUGUUAAAGACCUUGGCCUAACCAAGGAAAUGCGAUUGAAACUAGAAAGCUAGAGGAUGGAAGAGAGGAGUGGAAUUCUUGGAGUAGCGGUAAAAUGCGUAGAUCUCAAGAGGAACACCGAUGGCGAAGGCAGCUUCUUGGUCCAUAUCUGACGCU